CCAAGACCUUAAAUCUCCCAGCCUGAGUCACAAUGGAAUGCUGUCACAAUGGAAGGCAAAUCAGAGGACAGAACAACAUUGUUAAAAUAGCCACUCCGUCCACGUUGACCAUCUCACUAGACUAGAACAUCAGGUCAGAGGAGAACAUAAGGAUGGUUACAAUGGACAACGUUUGCCUUCUCUACUUCCUUUAUUUCAUGUCAGGAUUUUCAGGCGUGAAGCUUGAAAUCCAGCUGGUCCAGUCUGGUGCUGAACAGAAAUUACCUGGAGAAUCGGUAAAGUUGUCUUGCAGUGUAUCUGGAUACACAUACACAAGCAAUGGGAUGCACUGGGCAAGGAGGCGACCAGGCAAAGGCCUGGAGUGGGUGUCUUCCAUUACCAACGGCAACGGAGACACUCAGUAUUAUGGAGACAUUUUUAAAGAGCGAUUCAAAAUCUCCAGAGACAACCCCAACAACAAACUGUUCCUAGAAAUUAAGGGCCUGAAGCCUGAAGAUUCUGCCAUGUAUUAUUGUGCAAGCUGA